rnacentral:rRNA from 1 species
GAUGAACGCUGGCGGCGUGCCUAACACAUGCAAGUCGAACGAAGCAAUUUAUUUGAUUUUCUUCUGGACUGAUUAUCUUGUGACUGAGUGGCGGAUGGGUGAGUAACGCGUGGGUAACCUGCCUUGUACAGGGGGAUAACAGUAGGAAACGGCUGCUAAUACCGCAUAAGCUCACAGCAUCGCAUGAUGUAUUGCUAAAAACUCCGGUGGUAUAAGAUGGACCCGCGCUGGAUUAGCUAGUUGGUGAGGUAACGGCCCACCAAGGCGACGAUCCAUACACGACCAGUGAGUGUGACCCGCCACAUUGAGGCUAGGACACGGCCGAAACUCCUACGGGAGGCAGCAGUGGCGAAUAUUGCACAGUGGGCGAAAGGAUGAUGCUGCGACGCCGCGUGAGCGAAGAAGUAUUGCAGUAUGUAAAGCUCUAUCAGCAAGGAAGAUAAUGACGGUACCUAACUAAGAAGCACCGGCUAAAUACGUG